rnacentral:rRNA from 1 species
ACGGGUGAGUAACACGUAGGUAACCUGCCUAUGAGACUGGGAUAACUAUCGGAAACGAUAGCUAAGACCGGAUAACUGGUUUUCUCGCUUGAGAGAAUCAUGAAACACGGAGCAAUCUGUGGCUUAUAGAUGGGCCUGCGGCGCAUUAGCUAGUUGGUAGGGUAAUGGCCUACCAAGGCGACGAUGCGUAGCCGACCUGAGAGGGUGAACGGCCACACUGGGACUGAGACACGGCCCAGACUCCUACGGGAGGCAGCAGUAGGGAAUCUUCCGCAAUGGACGCAAGUCUGACGGAGCAACGCCGCGUGAGUGAUGAAGGUUUUCGGAUCGUAAAGCUCUGUUGCCCUAGACGAACAGCAUGAGGAGUAACUGCCUUGUGUGUGACGGUAUAGGAGAAGAAAGCCCCGGCUAACUACGUGCCAGCAGCCGCGGUAAUACGUAGGGGGCAAGCGUUGUCCGGAAUUAUUGGGCGUAAAGCGCGCGCAGGCGGUCAAUUAAGUUGGGUGUUUAAGCCCGGGGCUCAACCCCGGUUCGCAUCCAAAACUGGUUGACUUGAGUGUAGGAGAGGAAAGUGGAAUUCCACGUGUA